UACGUAGGGGGCAGGCGUUGUCCGGAUUCAUUGGGCGUAAAGAGCGUGUAGGCGGCCAGGUAGGUCGGUUGUGAAAACUGGAGGCUCAACCUUCAGACGUCGACCGAAACCAUCUGGCUAGAGUCCGGGAGAGGAGAGUGGAAUUCCUGGUGUAGCGGUGAAAUGCGCAGAUAUCAGGAAGAACACCCGUGGCGAAAGCGGCUCUCUGGAACGGUACUGACGCUGAGACGCGAAAGCGUGGGGAGCGAACAGG
rnacentral:rRNA from 1 species